GGAAAGGGGGACUUUCUCCAGAAUAAGAAAAAUCAUUAAGAGCUGGGUGUGGUGGUGCACUCCUUUAAUCCCAGCACUCAGGAGGCAGAGGCAGGCAGAUUUCUGAGUUCAAGGUCAGCCUGGUCUACAGAGUGAGUUCCAGGACAGCCAGGGAUGUAUAGGGAAACCCUGUCUCGAAAAACCAAAAAAGAAAAAGAAAAAGAAAAAAGAAAAAAGAAAACAGUUUGCUUCAUAAAAUUCGUGUAAUCUUCAAGCUAUUCAUAUGAAACAAACACAAAUCCGUUUUUAUGUCUUCCAGGUUUGCUUUGAGCAUCUCGUCAUUAAACCAUUGAUCGUUGAGACUUCUUUCAAGUAUGAGGUUUCUAACAUUAGUAUUUUCAAGACUAGGGAUGCAGUUCACUGGUAAAGUGAUAGAGCACCUGCCGGGCAGUCAUAAGGUCCAGGUUCUUUCCAGAGCACUGCAAAAAGGUCCACAUAGAGAGCUUUGAAAUUAUCUUCUACC
rnacentral:lncRNA from 1 species